rnacentral:rRNA from 1 species
UACGUAGGCAGCGAGCGUUGUUCGGAAUUACUGGGCGUAAAGAGUGUGUAGGCGGUGCUCUAAGUUCGGUGUGAAAUCUCCUGGCUUAACUGGGAGGGUGCGCGGAAGACUGGAGGGCUGGAGUAUGGGAGAGGAAAGCGGAAUUCCUGGUGUAGCGGUGAAAUGCGUAGAUAUCAGGAGGAACACCUGCGGUGUAGACAGCUUUCUGGACCAUCACUGACGCUGAGACACGAAAGCGUGGGUAGCAAACAGG